rnacentral:rRNA from 1 species
CAGCCGUAAACUAUGCGCGUUAGGUGUAUCGGUGACCACGAGUCACCGAGGUGCCGAAGGGAAACCGUGAAACGUGCCGCCUGGGAAGUACGGUCGCAAGGCUGAAACUUAAAGGAAUUGGCGGGGGAGCACCGCAACGGGAGGAGCGUGCGGUUUAAUUGGAUUCAACGCCGAAAAACUCACCAGCAGCGACUGUUACAUGAAAGUCAGGUUGAUGACCUUACUAGAUUUUCAGAGAGGAGGUGCAUGGCGUAGACGUCU